rnacentral:rRNA from 1 species
UAUUGGUCAAUGGGCGUAAGCCUGAACCAGCCAAGUCGCGUGAGGGAGGAGGGCCCUACGGGUUGUACACCUCUUUUGCCGGGGGACAAACGGCGGCACGCGUGCCGUCCUGAGGGUACCCGGAGAAAAAGCAUCGGCUAACGCCGUGCCAGCAGCCGCGGUAGUACGGAGGAUGCGAGCGUUAUCCGGAUUUAUUGGGUUUAAAGGGUGCGUAGGCGGGAUGCCAAGUCAGCGGUCAAAUACGGGGGCUCAACCUGCGUCCGCCGUUGAAACUGGGGGCCUUGAGUGGGCGAGAAGAAGGCGGAAUGCGUGGUGUAGCGGUGAAAUGCAUAGAUAUCACGCAGAACCCCGAUUGCGAAGGCAGCCUUCCGGCGCCCUACUGACGCUGAGGCACGAGAGUGCGGGGAUCGAACAG